AUCAAUAAUUAUAAGCCCCUCCGAGGCAUACCCAUUGACUAAUUUCGUAGCAACUUUUGAGAUUAUUGAGUAAAUGGUGAGUGUGUAGCGUGUAUGUAGUUUGGUGUGAAAAGUAAGAAAGUGAGAAAGCCAUUCGUGAGUUUUUGAACUCUUCUUUUUGUUGUUGAGAAACAUUAGAGAAACGUCGAGAUAUUGUCCGGAGGCAUUGUUCUGAGAGUGGUCAGGAAAUGUCAGGGGGCAUUAUCGCGUGGGUCGUCAUCGGGUUGUCCAUCGUGUCCAAAGAGUGCCAGGGGUCUGUCAGGGGUCAGUAGGUCGUAUAAUCGAGUUAUCAGUCCGUGUCCAAAGAGUGCCAGGGGUCUGUCAGGGGUCAGUAGGUCGUAUAAUCGAGUUAUCAGUCCGUGUCCAAAGAGUGCCAGGGGUCUGUCAGGGGUCAGUAGGUCGUGGGUCGUCAGGAGUUGUCAGUCCGUGUGUUUUUUUAGUCUGGCUGAGCCGCUGUCUCCCCAGAAGAGUCUCAGCCAUAACUUUGGUGUUGUCUGUUGGUCUGGAUAAGCCGCAUUCUCCUCAUAGGAGACUCACUCUUACCAACACGCAGCACCGUUUUUUUGUUGUUUUAUGAUUUUUUUGUUCUUUUUAUAGUUAGUGACGCUCUGCCCUGCUGGGGGGAUUUCUUCCCCGCGCGGCAGUUCCUCUUGGAGGCGUCAGUCAUUAUGAUUAUGGUGAUUUGUACCGGUGACCUAAGCUGAUAUAAGGGUCACAGCUCGUCUGGCUACUUCUUAGGAAGGUCAGCACGUCUUGCGGGAACUUCAACGCCCCCCCCGCCGGACCUUCGGGAUCCCCGGCACCGCCAUGGACGCCCCGGGGGAGCCAGGGCGCCCUACCGGGGCCCCUCCAGUCCUGCGAUGCUCACCAGCAAGACCAAGGACUCGCUGGUGCUCCCCAGCCCCGACGAUUCGAGGAGGGCGGGUGCAAGAACGCGCUUCUCAAAAGUGCCAGACG